rnacentral:ncRNA from 1 species
UAUCAUAAAAAGUUCAGAAGUAGUAGCUAUUGAAGCUGUUCAGAGAGGUGACGGUUGGUGCGAGUCAUCCAGUGGCGUAGUGAAUCCAUCUGUGAUAUUGGAUUGCGAAAUAAGUAAUCCCGUCUCUUAUGCGUUAAAUAAGAUCAAGGGCAGAGAGGAUUUCUCUGAACUUGGGUGGUACCGCGAAGUAUACUCUUCGUCCCAAGC